CAUGUAGGCGGCUGUGCAAGUCGUGUGUUAAAGCCCCUGGCUCAACUGGGGGAGGUCAUGCGAGACUGCACGGCUGGAGGGCAGUAGAGGCACAUGGAACUCCCGGUGUAGCGGUGGAAUGCGUAGAGAUCGGGAAGAACACCCGUGGCGAAGGCGGUGUGCUGGGCUGCACCUGACGCUGAGAUGCGAAAGUGUGGGGAGCAAACG
rnacentral:rRNA from 1 species